rnacentral:misc_RNA from 1 species
GAUGAAGAACGCAGCUAAAUGCGAUAAGUAGUGUGAAUUGCAGAAUUCAGUGAAUCAUCGAAUCUUUGAACGCACAUUGCGCCCUUUGGUAUUCCUUAGGGCAUGCCUGUUCGAGCGUCAUUUAAACCUUCAAGCUAAGCUUGGUGUUGGGUGACUGUCCGCUUCACGGCGGACUCGCCUCAAAAUUAUUGGCGGCCGGUACAUUGGCUUCGAGCGCAGCAGAAACGCGAACUCGGGCCCGUCGUAUUGGCUCCCAGAAGCUAUCUUCACAAUUUUGACCUCGGAUCAGGUAGGGAUACCCGCUGAACUUAAGCAUAUCAAUAAGCGGAGGA